ensembl:lncRNA
AAGUAAAACAAAAUUUAUGUUAUUUGGAGGUAGUAAAAGUAAUAUUAAAGUAAAAUUGAAUUUAAAUAAUGUUGAAAUUGAAAGAGUAUAUGAGACAAAAUUUUUAGGAGUAAUUAUUGAUGAUAAACUUUGUUGGAAGCCCCACAUAGAACAUAUGAAACGAAAAUUAUCCAAGUCGAUUUCUAUUCUUUAUAAAACAAGAGAUUCUUUGAAUAAGAACUGCCUUUAUUUAUUGUAUACUUCCCUUUGUUUGCCUUAUAUGACCUACUGUGCAGAAAUUUGGGGGAACACAUACAAAACAUAUUUGGAUUCAGUAUUUAAAUUGCAAAAAAGAGCUAUUAGAAUAAUAAAUAAAGUUGGAUAUAGGGAGUCCACCAACCAGUUUUUUGUAGGAUCAUCUAUGUUAAAAUUCAUGGACAUUAUAUAUUCUAAAACUUUAGAAAUGAUAUAUCGUGUGAUGAAAAAGAAUGUUCCAAUGUGUAUUUUAAGGAUGUUUCAACUAAGAGAUGGAAAAUAUGAUUUAAGGGGGUCUUAUAAGUUUGAAAUGCCUAAAGUGAGAACCAAUGUUAAGUAUAGAUGUGUGUCAGUUUUGGGAGUGAAAUUAUGGAACGGACUUAAUGAUGAACUGAAGAUGUGUUUUUCUUUGUCAUUCUUCAGGAAGCUUUUAAAAAUUAGUAUUAUACAAGGUUAUAGAAAUUUGGUUUGUUAACAUUUUUUUGUGUUGAUUUAAUUUCUUGAUUUAUCAUUGAUUUCUUUUCAAACUGUUAUACAACUUAUUUAUCAAUGUUAUUUAUCUUCUUGGUUAAGGAUUUGAUUAUUUCUAUAGGGGUAAGGGAUCGGAUAAGUAUAAGCCAUAAGGCUUCAGCCUAUUCCUUUUUCGGUUUCUGUUUGAGUACUUUUAUGUAAAAUUAUAAUCUGUUGUUGUUGACUGAAAUAAAUUUCAAUUCAUUCAUUCAUUCAUUCAUUCAUCACUUCAUCUGUCAUUGUACUGAAUUUGAGCAACCCUGAACUUAAUGCAGAUUACUAUUAACAACUGGUUAAAUUAAUGGUCUGGAGCACCGGCUGUUGUUGAUCAGGGCAAUCUAAAGAAUCUGCGGGGGGGUUUGGGGGUUUUUUUGUUUUUUGUUUUUUUGUUGGUUUUUUUUUUUUGCUUUUUGUGGAUCUCUCCACCUAUUUGCACUGAUUUUGCCUGCUCCUGCUUGUUGUUUUUCUAACCAUUUCUCAUCAGGUGUUAAUUUUGCUUGUUUAUUCUCCGUUUUCAAAGAUUUUGCUGGGCCGUCGCUGGCACGCUUGACUUUAGAGUGAUUUACUGAUACGGCCUUCAACUUCACCCUAACGGUGAAGCGGUAUCAGUUUUAUGAGAUGAAACUCAACCGUUCUCCUUUGUCACCAGCACUUGAGCCUCAGCAAAGAAAACAAAAAUGGAAGUAGUUCAGCAGCGUACUGUGCUGUAAAAUCAACUUACUUCCAGACACAUACACACACAUAGACAUUUGUGCGCUAAUUUGUCACAAAGUAAUUUCGGCUACCUCUAAAACCCAAGUCUAAUUCAGUUCCUUUUGGUGAACCCAACCUAUUUUAAUUUCUCUGUCUCAACGUGUUUUCAUUUGCCUAAACGUAUUUUGGGGUGGCUGUAGCUCAGGUGGCAGAGCAGGUCAGCCACUAAUCAGAAGGUCGGUGGUUCGAUCCCAGGCUGCAUCCUGGCUGCAUGCCAAAUAUCCUUGGGCAAGAUACUAACCCCGUGUUUGCC